UGAGGUAGUAGAUUGUAUAGUUUUAGGGUCACACCCGGUCUCGGAGAUAACUAUACAGUCUACUGUCUUUC
rnacentral:pre_miRNA from 1 species